GACGAACGCUGGUGGCGUGCUUAACACAUGCAAGUCGAACGAAGUGGCGAACGAGAGUGUAAUACGUGGGGAACCUGCCCUCCUUUGUGGGAUAAACCUUUGAAACGGGGUCUAAUACCGAAUAACAGGGGAUGGGCUCGCGGCCUAUCAGCUUGUUGGUGGGUUGAUGGCCUAACAAGGCGGGGACGGGUAGCCGGCCUGAGAGGGUGACCGGCGCCAUUGGGACGGAGAUACGGCCCAGAGUCCUACGGGAGGCAGCAGUGGGGGAUAUUGCACAAGGGGUGAAAGCCUGUGGCAGCGACGCCGCGUGGGGGAUCAAGUCUGUAGGGUUGUAAACCUCUUCCGCUAUCGAACGGGUACGUGGAGAAGAAGCGCCGGCUAACUACGUGCCAGCCGCCGCGGUAAUAC
rnacentral:rRNA from 1 species